UUCAAGAAGCAGAUUUUAGUUAUAUUUGAUUUUCUGCCAAUAAAAUUAGGAAUCUUAGGGGUGUUUGGCCUAGCUAUUCAAAAAUAAUUCUGAGCCCAAAAUCACUUUUGAGCACAGUAGAGUGUUUGGGAAUGACAUUCUGAAAAUUUAAUUCCGCUUUUUAGAAUCAGAAAACUGAUUUUGAGGGCUCCAGAAUCAGAAGCAAAAAAAAACUACUUCUCCAA
rnacentral:lncRNA from 1 species